AACAGGAUUAGAUACCCUGGUAGUCCACGCCGUAAACGAUGUCGACUUGGAGGUUGUGCCCUUGAGGCGUGGCUUCCGGAGCUAACGCGUUAAGUCGACCGCCUGGGGAGUACGGCCGCAAGGUUAAAACUCAAAUGAAUUGACGGGGGCCCGCACAAGCGGUGGAGCAUGUGGUUUAAUUCGAUGCAACGCGAAGAACCUUACCUACUCUUGACAUCCAGCGAACUUAGCAGAGAUGCUUUGGUGCCUUCGGGAACGCUGAGACAGGUGCUGCAUGGCUGUCGUCAGCUCGUGUUGUGAAAUGUUGGGUUAAGUCCCGCAACGAGCGCAACCCUUAUCCUUUGUUGCCAGCGAUUCGGUCGGGAACUCAAAGGAGACUGCCGGUGAUAAACCGGAGGAAGGUGGGGAUGACGUCAAGUCAUCAUGGCCCUUACGAGUAGGGCUACACACGUGCUACAAUGGCGCAUACAAAGAGAAGCGACCUCGCGAGAGCAAGCGGACCUCACAAAGUGCGUCGUAGUCCGGAUCGGAGUCUGCAACUCGACUCCGUGAAGUCGGAAUCGCUAGUAAUCGUGGAUCAGAAUGCCACGGUGAAUACGUUCCCGGGCCUUGUACACACCGCCCGUCACACCAUGGGAGUGGGUUGCAAAAGAAGUAGGUAGCUUAACCUUCGGGAGGGCGCUUACCACUUUGUGAUUCAUGACUGGGGUGAAGUCGUAACAAGGUAACC
rnacentral:rRNA from 1 species